AAAUCACCAACCGAGUUUUGGGAAGAAAGUCCAUAUGGGAGUGAUGACAAGCAACAAUCCUUCUGUGCUCCAAAGAAGAGAAAUUGAAUAAUCUUUGGCUGACAUGGAGACAAGAAGAGAGACCAUCGUUUCCUCCCCAUCCUGAUCUACGUGUCCCACACCACCAAGAAUGUGCCAGGGCUGUGAGCCCAUUGCGCACUGAUGGAGGGAAGCAUGGCGACUGAUGAAGAAGGGACCUCUAAGAAGAUUUCCGACCAGAUGGACAACAUCGUGGACAUGAGAGAGUACGAUGUCCCCUACCACAUCCGUCUGUCCAUUGACCUGAAGAUUCACGUGGUGAGUCCCAAGUGACGUUCGGAAUGUACUCGAUGAUGUUCCGCGAGCGUGUUGCGGCUUUGAAGGUGAUAGGGCGACGUUCUAAAUAGCCAGAAGAUGAUACAUUCAUUUAUGUUACUUUAAAAAGCGAGUCAGAAUAUAUGUAAUAGCAGUGGGCGGCAAUGGUGGAACUGAUAAAAGGAUAAUAAAUACGAUUGAAUGAAUGAAUGAAUAA